AGAGAAGACAAUUAAUGUAGGAAGGAGGGAGAUCGGCGUGGAAAUCCAGUCGCCGUUUUGAGUGAGUCCGCUAAAGACAAAAUUAAGGUGCUCUGCACAUUGUGUGCUGUUGAUUGAUGACGUGUUCUCUUGAUUCGCUACAGGUACGUCCAAUUAAAAAAAUAAAUAAAAUGGAUCGCAGCACAUUCGAUCGUUAGGGGAGUGUUCCAUCAGGCAAUAUGAUGCCCCCAAAUUUGCACGAAUGGACAAUUGCGACCAGUCGGGCGUUUUUCAUUCAAGCUCACCACUCAAGGACUUUGCUACUCAAAACCUCCAUCUUGGUCUGCAGCUGAGUGACUUUGCCCCGGAGAUUGGUCACCUCCCUGGCGUUCACCACGCUACCAAAGGUGAGCAUGUGGCGUAGGGCCUUGAGCUCCGCCUCCUUCUCGCUGGCCUCCCGGUGGGCUUGGAACAUCUCCUGUCGAUUGGCG